rnacentral:rRNA from 1 species
AUUGAACGCUGGCGGCAGGCCUAACACAUGCAAGUCGAGCGGAUGAAGGGAGCUUGCUCCUGGAUUCAGCGGCGGACGGGUGAGUAAUGCCUAGGAAUCUGCCUGGUAGUGGGGGAUAACGUCCGGAAACGGGCGCUAAUACCGCAUACGUCCUGAGGGAGAAAGUGGGGGAUCUUCGGACCUCACGCUAUCAGAUGAGCCUAGGUCGGAUUAGCUAGUUGGUGGGGUAAAGGCCUACCAAGGCGACGAUCCGUAACUGGUCUGAGAGGAUGAUCAGUCACACUGGAACUGAGACACGGUCCAAACUCCUACGGGAGGCAGCAGUGGGGAAUAUUGGACAAUGGGCGAAAGCCUGAUCCAGCCAUGCCGCGUGUGUGAAGAAGGUCUUCGGAUUGUAAAGCACUUUAAGUUGGGAGGAAGGGCAGUAAGUUAAUACCUUGCUGUUUUGACGUUACCAACAGAAUAAGCACCGGCUAACUUCGUG